GAUUAUUUUUAAUUUUUGAGAAUCUUCUUCUUCGAGAUUUGUCAAGAUAAAUUUUGAUGGCAGUGUCGGAAAUGAUCGAGACGGUGUAGAUUUUAUCAUCCGGAGCCUAUAUUGUAGGUUGCUAGUAGAGGGGAAGGGACUCUUUUUUUUGAACCUUCAGUCUCGCGAGCUAAGCUUCAUAUUGCUUGAACGGGUGUUAUUUAUACCAGACAAAAAUUACGGAU
rnacentral:lncRNA from 1 species